rnacentral:rRNA from 1 species
AUCGAACGCUGGCGGCAGGCCUAACACAUGCAAGUCGAACGAGUGGCGGACGGGUGAGUAAUGUCUGGGAAACUGCCUGAUGGAGGGGGAUAACUACUGGAAACGGUAGCUAAUACCGCAUACCAUCAGCUGUGCCCAGAUGGGAUUAUCUAGUUGGCGGGGUAACGGCUAACCAAGGAGACGAUCGCUAGCUGGUCUGAGAGGUUGACCAUCCACACUGGAACUGAGACACGGUCCAUACUCCUACGGUAGGCAGCAGUGGGAAAUAUUGCACAAUGUGCGCAAGCCUGAUGCUGCCAUGCCGCGGGUAUGAAGAAGGCCUUCGGGUUGUAAAGUACUUUCAGCGGGGAGGCGUUAGCCGCAGAAGAAGCGCCGGCUAACUCCGUGCCAGCCGCCGCGGUAAUAC